UACGGAGGUGGCAAGCGUUGUUCGGAAUCAUUGGGCGUAAAGCGCGCGCAGGCGGUCGGCUAAGUCCAGAGGUGAAAUGCCGGGGCUCAACCCCGAGCGUGCCUCGGAUACUGGCCGACUGGAGACAGGUAGAGGCGAGCGGAAUUCCGGGUGUAGCGGUGGAAAUGCGUAGAGAUCCGGAAGAACACCAGUGGCGAAGGCGGCUCACUGGCCCGGUACUGACGCUCAGGUGCG
rnacentral:rRNA from 1 species